rnacentral:misc_RNA from 1 species
GAUGAAGAACGUAGUAAAAUGCGAUAAGUAAUGUGAAUUGCAGAAUUCAGUGAAUCAUCGAAUCUUUGAACGCACAUUGCGCCCGCCAGUAUUCUGGCGGGCAUGCCUGUUCGAGCGUCAUUUCAACCCUCAAGCACAGCUUGGUGUUGGGACUCGCGUUAAUUCGCGUUCCCCAAAUUGAUUGGCGGUCACGUCGAGCUUCCAUAGCGUAGUAGUAAAACCCUCGUUACUGGUAAUCGUCGCGGCCACGCCGUUAAACCCCAACUUCUGAAUGUUGACCUCGGAUCAGGUAGGAAUACCCGCUGAACUUAAGCAUAUCAAUAAGCGGAGA